rnacentral:rRNA from 1 species
CCUACGGGAGGCAGCAGUGAGGAAUAUUGGACAAUGGGCGCAAGCCUGAUCCAGCCAUGCCGCGUGCAGGAUGACGGUCCUAUGGAUUGUAAACUGCUUUUGCACAGGAAGAAACAACGCUACGUGUAGCGUCUUGACGGUACUGUGAGAAUAAGGAUCGGCUAACUCCGUGCCAGCAGCCGCGGUAAUACGGGGGGAUCCAAGCGUUAUCCGGAAUCAUUGGGUUUAAAGGGUCCGUAGGCGGUUUAGUAAGUCAGUGGUGAAAGCCCAUCGCUCAACGGUGGAACGGCCAUUGAUACUGCUAGACUUGAAUUAUUAGGAAGUAACUAGAAUAUGUAGUGUAGCGGUGAAAUGCUUAGAGAUUACAUGGAAUACCAAUUGCGAAGGCAGGUUACUACUAAUUGAUUGACGCUGAUGGACGAAAGCGUGGGUAGCGAACAGGAUUAGAUACCCUGGUAGUCCACGCCGUAAACGAUGGAUACUAGCUGUUGGGAGCAAUUUCAGUGGCUAAGCGAAAGUGAUAAGUAUCCCACCUGGGGAGUACGUUCGCAGAAGAGAAGUACGAAGAAGUAGAGCGNGAGAGAGCGAGACGACGACGAGGGAGGAGG